UAGAGUUUGAUCCUGGCUCAGGGUGAACGCUCGCGGUGUGGAUAAGGCAUGCAAGUCGUACGGGCAAGCUUUGCUUGCCAGUGGCGAACGGGGCAGUAACACGUGUCUAACUCACCCUCCAGUCGGGUAUAACUCGGAGAAAUCCGAGCUAAUUCCCGAUGGACCCAAGAAGUCAAAAGACUUUUUGGGUAAAGCCGAAAGGCGCUGGAGGAGAGGGACGCGGCCGAUCAGCUAGUUGGUGAGGUAAUGGCUCACCAAGGCUAAGACCGGUAGGGGGCCUUAGAGGGUGUUCCCCGCCAAGGGCACUGAGACACUGGCCCUACUCCUACGGGAGGCAGCAGCCGAGAAUCUUGGGCAAUGGGCGAAAGCUUGACCCAGCGACACCGCGUGCCGGAAGAAGCCCUUCGGGGUGUAAACGGCUUUUCUGGGUGAGGAAGCCAGCUUUUGCUGGUUGACAGUAUCCCAGGAAUAAGGGACGACCAACUUCGUGCCAGCAGUCGCGGUAAGACGAAGGUCCCAAGCGUUACCCGGAUUUACUGGGCGUAAAGGGCGAGAAGGCGGUGAAACAAGUUCUUCCUNAAAGCCUC
rnacentral:rRNA from 1 species